rnacentral:rRNA from 1 species
AGAAUCAACGCUGGCGGCGUGCCUAACACAUGCAAGUCGAACGAGAAAGUGGAGCAAUCCAUGAGUACAGUGGCGCACGGGUGAGUAACACGUGACUAACCUACCCUGGAGUGGGGGAUAACUGAGGGAAACCUUGGCUAAUACCGCAUAAUACCUACGGGUCAAAGGAGCAAUUCGCUUCAGGAGGGGGUCGCGGCCGAUUAGUUAGUUGGCGGGGUAAUGGCCAACCAAGACGAUGAUCGGUAUCCGGCCUGAGAGGGCGCACGGACACACUGGAACUGAAACACGGUCCAGACUCCUACGGGAGGCAGCAGUGGGGAAUUUUGCGCAAUGGGGGAAACCCUGACGCAGCAACGCCGCGUGGAGGAUGAAGUCCUUCGGGACGUAAACUCCUUUCGAUCGGGACGAUUAGUGACGGUACCGGAAGAAGAAGCCCGGCUAACUUCGCGCCAGCAGCCGC